rnacentral:rRNA from 1 species
UACGAAGGGGGCUAGCGUUGUUCGGAUUUACUGGGCGUAAAGCGCGUGUAGGCGGGUCGUUAAGUUGGGGGUGAAAUCCCGAGGCUCAACCUCGGAACUGCCUUCAAAACUGGCGACCUGGAGCAAAGAAGAGGCGAGUGGAACUGCGAGUGUAGAGGUGAAAUUCGUAGAUAUUCGCAAGAACACCAGUGGCGAAGGCGGCUGACUGGUCCGGUUCUGACGCUGAGGCGCGAAAGCGUGGGGAGCAAACAGG